ACGGAAGGCAGCAGUGGGGAAUAUUGCACAAUGGGCGAAAGCCUGAUGCAGCGACGCCGCGUGAGUGAAGAAGUAUCUCGGUAUGUAAAGCUCUAUCAGCAGGGAAGAAAAUGACGGUACCUGACUAAGAAGCCCCGGCUAACUACGUGCCAGCAGCCGCGGUAAUACGUAGGGGGCAAGCGUUAUCCGGAUUUACUGGGUGUAAAGGGAGCGUAGACGGUUUGGCAAGUCUGAAGUGAAAUGCGGGGGCUCAACUCCUGAACUGCUUUGGAAACUGUCGAACUAGAGUGCAGGAGAGGUAAGUGGAAUUCCUAGUGUAGCGGUGAAAUGCGUAGAUAUUAGGAGGAACACCAGUGGCGAAGGCGGCUUACUGGACUGUAACUGACGUUGAGGCUCGAAAGCGUGGGGAGCAGACAGGAUUAGAUACCCUGGUA
rnacentral:rRNA from 1 species